rnacentral:rRNA from 1 species
UGCGCAGGCGGGGAUGUAAGUCAGUGGUGAAAUACUGCCGCUCAACGGUAGAACUGCCAUUGAUUCUGCAUCUCUUGAGUAUGGUUGAGGUAGGCGGAAUGUGUUGUGUAGCGGUGAAAUGCAUAGAUAUGACACAGAACGCCAAUUGCGAAGGCAGCUUACUAAGCCAUUACUGACGCUGAGGCACGAAAGCGUGGGGAGCGAACAGGAUUAGAUACCCUGGUAGUCC